GUGGUUGUGGCUCAGUGGUAGAGCGCUCACCUAGCACGUGUGAGGCUCUAGGUUCGAUCCUCAGCACCACA
rnacentral:tRNA from 1 species